rnacentral:rRNA from 1 species
UCAGUGUUCGACUAAGCCAUGCGAGUCAAAUGUUCUUCGUGAACAUGGCGUACUGCUCAGUAACACGUGGAUAAUCUGCCCUAAGGUCUGGCAUAACACCGGGAAACUGAUGAUAAUUCCAGAUGGACCAUGGAUACUGGAAUGUUCUGUGGUCAAAAGCUCCGGCGCCUUAGGAUGAAUCUGCGGCCUAUCAGGUUGUAGUGGGUGUAACGUACCUACUAGCCGACGACGGGUACGGGUUGUGAGAGCAAGAGCCCGGAGAUGGAUUCUGAGACAUGAAUCCAGGCCCUACGGGGCGCAGCAGGCGCGAAAACUUUAUAAUGCGGGAAACCGCGAUAAGGGGACACUGAGUGCCAGCAUCUUAUGUUGGCUGUCCACAUGUAUAAAUAGCAUGUGUUAGCAAGGGCCGGGCAAGACCGGUGCCAGCCGCCGCGGUAACACCGGCGGCCCGAGUGGUGGCCACUAUUAUUGGGUCUAAAGGGUCCGUAGCCGGUUUGAUCAGUCUUCCGGGAAAUCUGACAGCUUAACUGUUAGGCUUCCGGGGGAUACUGUCAGGCUUGGGACCGGGAGAGGUAAGAGGUACUACAGGGGUAGGAGUGAAAUCUUGUAAUCCCUGUGGGACCACCAGUGGCGAAGGCGUCUUACCAGAACGGGUCCGACGGUGAGGGACGAAAGCUGGGGGCACGAACCGGAUUAGAUACCCGGGUAGUCCCAGCCGUAAACGAUGCUCGCUAGGUGUCCGGGAUGGUGCGACCGUUUCAGGUGCCGCAGGGAAGCCGUGAAGCGAGCCACCUGGGAAGUACGGCCG